rnacentral:antisense_RNA from 1 species
ACCAGACCAUCUCCCGGCGCGGGUGGAAUUCCCGCGAUCGGUUUCAUUCCCUGCGCCGCCGAGAAAAGUGAGAUCCCGCGAGACUCCCAGGAAUGGCACCAUUGUUGUGCAGAUGCUGAUGCCCAGUGUUGAGCCUGUCGUCUCCUACCUUAGGGGAAGUUCCCCUGGCCCUUCCCAACUACCUCCCCUGUGCAAGUUUAUUACAACUGAACGGCUUCAAGAAUGGAGUCUGUCUCUGUUGCCCAAGCUGGAGUGUGUUGGCACCAUCUUGGUUUACUGCAACUUCCACCUCCCAGGCUCAAGUGAUUCUCGUGCCUCAGCCUCAAGGGUAAGCUGAGAUUACAGGCUGGAGUGCAGUGGCAUGAUCUCACCUCACUGAAAACCUCCACCUCCAGGGUUCAAGUGAUUCUGCUACCUCAGCCUCCCAAAUAGCUGGGACUAUAGGCAUUUUCCCUACAUUUUCAAAGGCCUGCAUCAUCACACCUGCCGCAGCUUUCUCUAUCAUUGAGGCAUUUUCUCAGGAAAUCACCUGUGAAAUAUUUUGCAGCUAACCACCUACCUGUGCCCCGCCAGCCAACCUGCUUUACUCCUGCCAGGCAGGUGAGUGGUCCCCAGAUCCCUAUUUUACCACCUGUUUUAUCAGACUGUUCUUGGUAUCACCUGUGUUGGAGGGAGUUCUCUGCAAAGACCAAUAUGGGACUGCAUAUACAGAGAUUUUAUUUCAAGAUAUGAUUGUGAGAGAAUGAUGAGGGGAGCACUUACUUAGUCUAUUUGAGCUGUUAUAACAAAAUACCACUGACUAGGAAAUGUAUAAAGAGGACUUUAUUUUCCCAGAGUUCUGGAGGCUGGGAAGUUCAACAUCAAAACAUCAGUAGGUUCAGUUGUCUGUUGAGGGCUCAUGUCUGUUUCCAAGAUGAUGCCUUCAUGCUGCGUCUUUUGGAAGAGAGGAGCAUUGUGUCCUCACAGAGCAGAAAAUAGAAGGGCCACAGGACAAACUCCCUCUAUCAAGCCUUUUCAUAAGGGCACCUGAUCCCAUUCGCAAAGCUCUGUCUAUCUUCGUGACUUGACUUAAUCACUUCCAACGGUCCCACCUCCUAAUACUGUUACACUGUUUCAACAAUAAACAGUUUAUGUAGAGUUUCAACAUAAAUUAAGGAGGGGACAAAACAUCCAAACCAAGGAAGGCUGGGAGGGCAGCCAGAGGGAAGGAAAGUGCAAGAGGAGGUUUGGUGGAGGUGUUCUAGACUGUUUGCAGUCCAGGGAGGUUGGGGAGAGUGUCAGUAACAGGCCUGCCUUGGUAUCCCUGCUCUGCAGUCACUGGCUAAGAGCAGUCCUUAGAAAGCACAGCCUGGCACAAAUACAACAAGAAUAUGUGCUCAGUAAGAAAGAGACCACAUUUCCCCAAUAGCCCAGGUAAUGCCCUCCCCUCAACUGGCAUCUCUGUUCCCUAAACGUUGACCUCUUUUCUCUGAAUCUCUUGGGGACACAUGGGUUGAAUUCAGGUUCUCUGUACCCCUCUGGAUUCUGUCUGCCUUUGUUAUAUCUUCAUGAACAAGUUAUGCAGCCUCAACUAAAGCUUGUAACAAAGCAAAAGUUACUCUCCUGAGUGUGUCCUCUGAUGGCUGGUGAGAUAUGACUUCAAGACGAAGCCUCACCCACACUCCCUGUACAAAAACGCUUCUCACGUAAGUGUCUCUUUAAGUGCUUACUGUAGUAUGACUUAUUGCUAAAUUUUCGCCCACACUCUUGGCAUUCAUAAGGCCUCUCUCCUGUGUGUAUUCUUUCAUGCACAGUGAGGUCUGACUUACUGGUAUAUCCUCGCUUACACUCCUGGCACACAAAAGGCUUCUCCUUUGAGUGUAUCCGCCAGUGGUGUCUGGUGAGACUUCUCUUCCAGCUGAAGCCUUGCCCACACACAUUACACACGAAGGGCUUCUCCCCUGAGUGUGUCCUCUGGUGUGUGAGGAGAUUUCCCUUCCAGUUGAAGCCUCGCCCACACUCCUUGCAUACAAAAGGCUGCUUGCCAGAAUGUGCAAGCUGGUGUUUCACAAGGUUUGACUUCCAGAUAAAUCCUUGCCCACAUUCACUACAAAUGAAAGGCUUCUCCCCUGAGUGUGUCUUCUGGUGGAAGAGGAGAGUUGACUUUAGGAUGAAGCCUCGCCCGCAAUCCUUGCAAUUAAAUGGCCUUUCCCCUGAGUGUGUCCACUGAUGUCUAAGAAGAUUUGCCUUCAAACUAAAACUUUUCUCACACUGCUUGCACAUGAAGGGCUUCUCUCCUGAGUGUGUCCUCUGAUGUAUGGUGAGAUUUGGCUUCAAGGUAAAGCCUCGCCCACAAUCCCUGCAGAAAAAACGUUUCUCACCCAAGUGUGCCCUCAGGUGCUUGUUAUAGGAGGACUUAUCCCGAAACCUUCGCCCACACUCCCGACAUCCAUAAGGCUUCUCCUCUGAGUGUGUCCUCUGGUGUAAAGUGAAGGUUGACUUUUGGAUAAAGCCUCGUCCACAGUCCUUGCACACAAAAGGCUUCUCCUCUGAGUGUGUGAUCUGAUGCUUCACAAGGGUUGACUUCUGAAUAAAUCCUUGCCCACAUUCACUACAAACAAAAGGUUUCUCCCCUGAGUGUGUUCUCUGGUGGUAGACAAGAGUUGACUUUUGGCUAAAGCUUCGCUCACAAUCCUUGCACACAAAAGGCUUCUCCCCUGAGUGUGUUCUCUGGUGUCUGAGGAGACUUCCUUUCACGCUAAAACUUUGCUCACACUGCCUGCACGCGAAGGGCUUCUCCCCUGAGUGUGUCCUCUGGUGUGUGAUAAGGUGUGACUUAUUGCUAAAGCCUCGGCCACACUCCUGGCAUCUGUAAGGCUUCUCUCCUGAGUGUAUUCUCUUGUGCACAACGAAGUAUGACUUAUUAGUAUAGCCUCGCCCACACUCCUUGCACACAAAAGGCUUCUCCCCUGAAUGCGCCUUCAAGUGCUUGUUGUAUGAGGACUUAUCGUUAAACCUUCGCCCACACUCCUGGCAUUCAUAAGGCUUCUCUCCUGUGUGUGUUCUCUCAUGCACAGUGAGGUAUGACUUACUGGUAUAGCCUCGUCCACACACCUUGCACAGAAAAGGCUUCUCUCCUGAGUGUGUCCUCUGGUGUCUGAGGAGAUUUGCCUUGAGGCUGAAGCCUCGCCCACACUCACUGCACACAUAGGACUUCUCUGCUGUGUGUGUGUUCUGGUGCAAGAGCAAUGCUGACUCAUCUCUAAAGCCCUGGUGACACUCCCUGCAUGUAAAAAGUUUCUGCCUGGAAUGUGCUUUUUUGUGUAUGAUUACUAUUGUCUUCCGGCUGAAGUCUUGCCCACGCUCUGCACACUUGAAUGCUCCCCAUCUUGAAUUUUCUAUUUCUUUCAAUACUUUGUCUAUUUCUGUAGGAUUCUCCCUCUGGCCUCGACUAGACUCUAUUUCCACUACACUGUUCCUCCUCCUUGAGCUUACUGCAUGUCUUAGGGGUGGGCUGGAAAAUGCCAUGGGCUUAGUGCUUUUUUCUUUCUCUUGACCUUCAGCUGUGUCACUCUGGAAGCUUUGAUCAGAAAAUUGUAGUUGCUGUUGCCUCUGAUGUGCAAGUCCAAGAUUCUUGGGCCGCAGGACAUGUUCUGCAUAUAUUCCUGGAGAAUAGACCAACAAUGAGACUGAAUCAGUAAUGAAAAGUCUUCUAUCAAAGAAAAACCCAGGACCAGAUUGCUUUACUGCUUAAUUCUAGUAAACUCAUAAAGAACAACAAACACCAGUUCUUUUCAAACUAUUCCAAAAAAUUGAAGCAGGGCAGGGAGGAAUUCUUCCUAACUCAUUCUACAAGGCCAGCAUUAUCCUGAUACCAAAACCAGACAAGGACACAGCAAAAACAGAGAACUACAGGCCAAUAUCCCUGAUGAUGCUAAAUGGAAAAAUCCUCAACAAAAUACUAGCAAACCCAAUGCAACAACACAGAAAAGAUAAUAUACCAUGAUCAAAUGAGAUUUAUGUUAGGUAUGCAAUCAUGAUUCAACAUACACAAAUCAAUACUUGUCACACAUCACAUCAACAGAGUGAAAGACCAAAAGACAUAUGAUCAUCUCAACAGAUAUAGAAAAAGAUUUGAUAUGAUUCAAAAUCCCAUUAUGAUAAAAACUUUUAUUUUUUUGAGACAGGGUCUCACUGUGUCACCCAGGCUGGAGUGCAGUGGCAUGAUCAUGGCUCACUGCAGCCUCGACCUCCCAGGCUUAGACGAUCCUCCCACCUCAACUUUCCAAAUAGCUGGACUACAGGUGCCUGCCUGUAGUCAAGCCACAGGUGCCAUUGCCUGGAUAAUUUUUGUAUUUUUUGUAGAGAUGGGAUUUCGCCAUGUUGUCCAGGCUGGUCUCAAAUUCUUGAGCUCAAGCAAUCUGCCCAUCUUGCCCUCCCAAAGUGAUGAGAUUAAAGACAUAAGCCACCACACCCGGCCUAUGAUAAAAACUUAAAUCAGGUGUACAGGAAACAUAUCACAACAUAAUAUAGACAAUAUGUUCCAAACCCACAGCAAACAUCUUAGUGAAUGGGGAAAAGGUAAAAGUCUUUCCUCUAAGAACUGGAAAAAGAUUCGAAUGUCUACUUUCACCACUCUUAUUACCAUAGUUCUGGGAGUCCUAGUCAGAACUAUGGUAAGAGAAAAAAAUAAGGCAAGAAAA